GACGAACGCUGGCGGCGUGCCUAAUACAUGCAAGUCGAGCGCAGGAAACUGACGGAACUCUUCGGAGGGAAGGCAGUGGAAUGAGCGGCGGACGGGUGAGUAACACGUAAGGAACCUGCCUCAAGGAUUGGGAUAACUCCGAGAAAUCGGAGCUAAUACCGGAUAGUUCAUCGGACCGCAUGGUCCGUUGAUGAAAGGCGCUCCGGCGUCACCUUGAGAUGGCCUUGCGGUGCAUUAGCUAGUUGGUGGGGUAACGGCCCACCAAGGCGACGAUGCAUAGCCGACGUGAGAGGGUGAUCGGCCACCCUGGGACUGAGACACGGCCCAGACUCCUACGGGAGGCAGCAGCAGGGAAUCUUCCACAAUGGACGAAAGUCUGAUGGAGCAACGCCGCGUGAGUGAUGAAGGUUUUCGGAUCGUAAAACUCUGUUGUAAGGGAAGAACACGUACGAGAGGGAAUGCUCGUACCUUGACGGUACCUUACGAGAAAGCCACGGCUAACUACGUGCCAGCCGCCGCCGUAA
rnacentral:rRNA from 1 species